ACAUGCCUACAACAUAGCGUUAAUGCACCAGAUCCCAUUAGAACUCCGCAGUUAAGCGUAUUUGGGCUAGAGUAGUACUAGGAUCGGUGAUUGUUUGGGAAGUCCUAGUAUUUUACAUGCC
rnacentral:rRNA from 1 species